GUGAGGAAUUUUCCGCAAUGGGCGAAAGCCUGACGGAGCAAUGCCGCGUGAAGUAUGAAGGCCUAUGGGUUGUAAACUUCUUUUCUCAGAAAAGAAUUAUGACGGUAUCUGAGGAAUAAGCAUCGGCUAACUCUGUGCCAGCAGCCGCGGUAAGACAGAGGAUGCAAGCGUUAUCCGGAAUGAUUGGGCGUAAAGCGUCUGUAGGUUGUUUAAAAAGUAUUCUGUCAAAGAUUAGGGCUUAACCCUAGAUAGGCAGAAUAAACUUUUAAUCUAGCGUUUGGUAGAGGCAGAGCGAAUUCCCGGUGGAGCGGUGAAAUGCGUAGGUAGCGGGAGGAACACCAAAGGCGAAGGCACUCUGCUGGGCCAAUACUAACCCUGAGAGACGAAAGCGAGGGGAGCAAAUGGGAUUAGAAACCCGAGUAGUCC
rnacentral:rRNA from 1 species